rnacentral:lncRNA from 1 species
AAAAAAUUACAAACCAUCACAAUUACAAACCAUCACAAUCAGGAAGCAUCGUCAUAACAAAAAAAAAAUAUCAGUUUACUUUUGCGCAAGUAUAACAAGCUCCUAAUGCAUUUCACAUGUAUAUGAACAGAUUUAGUCAAUCAAAACUAUGAGAGAAUUAUGAACAAUUAGCAUAAACGCAUAAACAAUUUUGUUUACUCAAUCAAAAGAAUUCACAUAUGAGAAAUUUGGCAU